rnacentral:rRNA from 1 species
GACGAACGCUGGCGGCGUGCUUAACACAUGCAAGUCGAACGGAAAGGCCCUGCUUUUGUGGGGUGCUCGAGUGGCGAACGGGUGAGUAACACGUGAGUAACCUGCCCUUGACUUUGGGAUAACUUCAGGAAACUGGGGCUACUACCGGAUAGGAGCUCCUGCUGCAUGGUGGGGGUUGGAAAGUUUCGGCGGUUGGGGAUGGACUCGCGGCUUAUCAGCUUGUUGGUGGGGUAGUGGCUUACCAAGGCUUUGACGGGUAGCCGGCCUGAGAGGGUGACCGGCCACAUUGGGACUGAGAUACGGCCCAGACUCCUACGGGAGGCAGCAGUGGGGAAUAUGGCACAAUGGGCGGAAGCCUGAUGCAGCAACGCCGCGUGCGGGAUGACGGCCUUCGGGUUGUAAACCGCUUUCGCCUGUGACGAAGCGUGAGUGACGGUAAUGGGUAAAGAAGCACCGGCUAACUACGUG